rnacentral:snRNA from 1 species
GCGGGAUGAACCGGAAGCCGGGU